rnacentral:lncRNA from 1 species
UGGAUAACGUCACUUAUUUACAUGGCAUCAAUUGACAAUUGAUGCUAUCGGAUUUACAAGCAAGCGCAGACGGCAUAUGACAGAUUUUAAAUACAUGUUUUAACGUUGUUUUCUGUCAGUUUCAUCAGAAUGGAGAUAACAAUAUUGUAUUUUAAGCUCCGACGGCAUCAAUUGUAGAUUUGAAGGUCACAAAUACCUGUUUACUUCUCCACUAACGUGUCGCCAGUAAACUUAAUUUGUGACCAUCAAAUCCCCAAUUGAUGCCGUCAGAGCUUAAAAUACAAUACAGUUAUCUCCUAAGUAACCAAACAAAAAAUAUGUGGUGUACACCAAUGAGACAGCAACCAAACAAGAAAAUAUAAGGUGUACUUCAAUGAGACGGCAACCAAACAAGAAAAUAUGAGGUGUACACAACCAAACAACAAUAUGAGGUGUACACAAUGAGACGGCAACCAAACAAGAAAAUAUGAGGUGUACACCAAUGAGACAGCAACCAAACAAGAAAAUAUGAGGUGUACACCAAUGAGACAGCAACCAAA